CUGAGACCUAGAUUCAAAUGGAGUACUCGCCUGUCUGUCCCUUCUCUGCUACGGUUCAGGUUAGAUGAGCUGCUCCCGUUGGUGGUUUUUAUCUCUUAGCUACACAGCUGCCUGUAGCACUCUCGUCUUUCAGAAUGAGUUGCCAACUUUCCAUUCUGGCCGUCAGAAUUAAAACAAAGAAUCAUCCUCCAAAGUCAUCCAGGCCGAUUUGGUGGUGGCAGGAACAAAAGGGCACCAAUCCCAGAAGGGGGAGGCUAGAUCAACUUUAGGUCACGACUUACUACUUUCCUGGGGGAGAUGGAACCAGGGGCACUGGUGUUUUCUUCCACUUAGCAUCUUGCUUACACUAUUGUGGUAAGUGAAUAAAGGGUGG
rnacentral:lncRNA from 1 species